GACAGAGGGGGCAAGCGUUGCUCGGAAUUACUGGGCGUAAAGGGCGCGUAGGCGGGAUGGCAAGUCGGUCGUGAAAUCCCUCGGCUCAACUGAGGAUCGUCGAUCGAUACUGCCGUUCUUGAGGAUUGCAGAGGAGACUGGAAUUCCCGGUGUAGCGGUGAAAUGUGUAGAGAUCGGGAGGAACACCGGUGGCGAAGGCGGGUCUCUGGGCAAUACCUGACGCUGAGGCGCGAAAGCGUGGGGAGCAAACAGG
rnacentral:rRNA from 1 species